rnacentral:rRNA from 1 species
GACCUACAACGAAACUACAAGUAAGUCGACGGGCCCCGCACAAGCAGCGGAGCGUGUGGUUUAAUUCGAUGCUACACGAAGAACCUUACCAGGGUUUGACAUACAAGUAGUAGGGAAAGGAAACUGGACCGACCCUUCGGGGAGCUUGAACAGGUGCUGCAUGGCUGUCGUCAGCUCGUGUCGUGAGAUGUUCGGUUAAGUCCGCUAACGAGCGCAACCCUCGCUGUGUGUUACAAGUGUCACACGGAACUGCCGGUCAUAAACCGGAGGAAGGUGGGGAUGACGUCAAGUCAGCAUGGCCUUUAUAUCCUGGGCUACACACACGCUACAAUGGGAAGGGACAAUAGGUUGCGAAACCGCGAGGUGGAGCCAAUCCAGCAAAACUUCCCUCAGUUCAGAUUGCAGGCUGCAACUCGCCUGCAUGAAGUUGGAGUUGCUAGUAAACGCAGGUCAGCCAUACUGCGUUGAAUACGUUCCCGGGGCUU